rnacentral:lncRNA from 1 species
GGCGAGAGGUCGGCGGCCUGAUGGAUGAGAUUGAGGGGUACAGUGAGUAGGUCGUCAUUAGAUGGGCAAAGUGUGUAGGCUGGGUCGUAGUAGGAAAUCAGGGAAGUAAGGUAGGAGGGGGCAAGGUGACUGCUCUAAAGCCUAAUGGAAAGAGAACAGGUGAGAGAGUCAGAGGAUCUGGGUUCUAAUCCCAGUUCCACCACUUGCCUGCUGUGUGACCUUUGGCAAGUCAUUAAAUGUAUCUGUGUCUGUUUUCCCCUCCAUAAAUUGGAAAUUCAAUACCUGUCCUCCCUUUUACUUAGACUGUGAGUCCCAUGUGGGACAGGGACUAUGCCAGCCCUGUUUAACUUGUAUCUACCCCAGCACUUUGAACAGUGCUUGACUCAUAGUAAGAGCUUAUCAAAUGUCACCAUCAGCAGCAGCAUAAUAAUUAUUUAUAUCUUAUUAUUCAAUUUGCAGGCCCUGAAAUGGAAUGUUUUGCCAAGCUACAACUUAAAACGGGAUCAGCAAAAUGUUUUCUUUCUUGGCAAUCAUCAUGAAGUCAUUGUCCAAUUGAGGACAUUAAACACUUCAGAGCUUCACUGUACGAGGUCUCCUAAAAGAACUGUGGUUCUUGGAAUCGAAUAUCUCACCAGCAGUUACACAGGGGUGCACUUGUCAUUACUUCAAGGGACUCUUGUGAGGAGAGGAAGGAAUUGAAGGGGAAGUCAAGGAAGGAUGCCUAUGGCAGCCCUGACAGUUCUGUGACCCAGGGCCUGUAUUGACUUUGGGGUCAAGACCAAACUCAGUGGUGCUGGACCUGGAUAUUCUUCCCUGUCUUGGGCCAUGUCUCUGCUGGGCCUGCCAGACAGAUGCUGUGGAGGAGGAAGAAGAGGAAGCAGCAUGGCUUAGUGGAAAGAGCGUGGGCCUGGGAAUCAGAGGACCUGUUCUAAACCCAGCUCCACCCCUUGUCUGCUGCUGUGAAAACUUAGGCAAGUCACUUCACUUCUAGCUACCUUUUUCCUCAACUGAAAAAUAGGGAUUCAAUACCUGUUUCCCCUCCCCUUAGACUCGGAGCCCCAAGUGGGUCUCAGGGACUCUUUCAGACUUGAUUAUUUUGUAUCUAUUCCAGCAACUAGAACAUAGUGAACAUUUAACAUAGUGAGCAUCCCCCCUUCUAGACUGUGAGCCCAUUGUUGGGUAGGGACUGUCCCUAUCUGUUGCCGAAUUGUACUUUCCAAGCGCUUUCAUUCAACCAUAUUUAUUGAGCGCCUCCUCUGUGCACAGCACAGUACUAAGUGCUUGGAAAGUACAGUUUGGCAACAGACAGAGACGAUCCGAUCCCUACCCAACAACGUGCUCACAGUCUAGAAGUGGGAGACAGACAACAAAAAAACCCAAAACAAGUAAACAGGCAUCAAUACCAUCAAAACAGAUAAAUAGCUUAGUACAGUGCUCUGCAAACAGUAAGCUCUCAAUAAAUAUGAUUGAAUGAAUUUAACAAAUACCCCUAUUAUCAUUAUUAUUAGAAUGGCCAAUGUCAGUUUUUAUGAAUAUCAGAGAGGGAUACACCUAUUACUCUCCCUCCAUCCCCCCAGCUCCCUUCCCACUCCAAAGCCUUAUUGAAGGCACAUCUCCUCCAAGAGGCCUUCCCAGACCAAGCCUCACUUUUCCUCAUCUCCCACUCCCUUCUGCAUCACUCUGACUUGUUCCUUUUGCUCUCCCCCGCCCCCCC